AGUUUGUCUUGGUUAAUUUGUGCAACAACUGGAGUCCAACAAAUUAAGGUAGAGGCACCUCUGGUUAAUUUCUGUGGUAGCUAGCAGGACAGGAAAGAGGAAUGGCAUCACUCAAGGCUGAAAAACCUGUUGGCACUCCAUCCUCGGGGUCGGGGCAGGCCAAGAAGGAGCCCACCAAACCCAGCGGCAGUGCACCCAAAGCUCCGAUCUCCAAGCCGGCCCCUAAGAAGACAGAGCAGAAGCCUCGGGAGCCUAAAAAGAAGGCAUCGGGAGCAAAGUCAGCAGCUAAAGUAGCCAAGUAGGAAUAGGAAGACAAGAGCUUCAUGAACAGGGCAUGGAGCAGGAACUUAAGUGGUCAGGAUGGUGAUCAUUGUUGGAAUUACAAAAAAUAUUGCAAAGCUCUUGCCUUGUAAUUAUUUUUAUAUAUAUGCAUGAAUAUGUCUCUCUUUUUAAGCUUUACCUAAUCAAUAAAAAGUUAUUCCAUAUAUAUA